rnacentral:rRNA from 1 species
GUGGGGAAUAUUGGACAAUGGGCGAAAGCCUGAUCCAGCCAUGCCGCGUGUGUGAAGAAGGUCUUCGGAUUGUAAAGCACUUUAAGUUGGGAGGAAGGGCAGUAAGUUAAUACCUUGCUGUUUUGACGUUACCGACAGAAUAAGCACCGGCUAACUUCGUGCCAGCAGCCGCGGUAAUACGAAGGGUGCAAGCGUUAAUCGGAAUUACUGGGCGCAAAGCGCGCGUAGGUGGUUUUGUAAGUUGGAGGUGAAAUCCCCGGGCUCAACCUGGGAACUGCCUCCAAAGCUGCAUGACUAGAGUACGGUAGAAGGUAGUGGAAUUUCCUGUGUAGCGGUGAAAUGCGUAGAUAUAGGAAGGAACACCAGUGGCGAAGGCGACUACCUGGACUGAUACUGACACUGAGGUGCGAAAGCGUGGGGAGCAAACAGGAUUAGAAACCCGAGUAGUCC